UCCAGUGCUCCACAAUGCGAUCAGUAGGCGUGGUUGGAGAGGAUGACGCGCCCGGCUCGGUGAGGGUGCAGCGCGCAGGCGCAGUGCACGGAGGUGAGGCUGAGGCACCCGCUGAUGAUGAGUGAGUGCCGCUCCGGGCACGUGUGCAGCGCCGGGAACGAGUCGCACACCGCCUGCACCGCCGGCGGGGUCAGCGCCGUGCACUGGCUGAUGUUCAGGCUCGCCAGCCCGUCCCGCUCCCGGUCCUUGCUGCUGCCGCCGCUCUUCACUGCAGCGUCCCAUCCCCUGCCCUGGCUGCGCACACGGCUGUUGGCGGCCAGGGAGUACAUGGCGCGGUCCGUGAUGUUCUGGCAGUAGUACAGACCCAGGGAACGCAGGUGAGGGCAGCCGUUCGCCAGCGCAACCACACUCUCAUCUGUAGCAAGACAUCAAACAAGCGUCAGGCCAAAGUUUCAGGAUGGUUUUGGAGAAAUUGACACCAAACACGUAAACGCAAGGUCACCUGUUAUAAGAACACAACCGCACAAGUCCACAGCCCUGAGCUCAGGGCAUCCUGAAGCCAAGCUGGUCACUCCCUUGUCAGUGAUGCUAUCACACCAGCCCAGGUUCAACGAUUGCAGCUGGCCACAGUUACAUGCGAUGGCCUGCAGCACCAAAACAGCAGGAAUCAAUGCGAGCUCAAGCAUACAAUGGUACAGCAAAUGAAGUACCUGUAGCGCUCUGUCAGAAGCUGCCCUCACACACCCGCACAGGUUCAAGCAUUUGAGGUUCUUGCACUGGCUAGAGAGGAACACAAGAGCCGAAUCACUGAAAUUGGAGCACCCACUGAUGUUGAGCCUUGUAAGGUGAGGGCACCCGUGCGCCAGAGCGUACAAGGACAGGUCGCUGAGCCUAAAGCUUCUGCUAAGAUCCAGCUCGCGUAAAUCAUGGCAGUUGUUCGCCACGGCCUCCACCCCACUGUCUUCUAGCUGAGCUCUGAUUUGGCGUAGAGAUAGAACUU
rnacentral:lncRNA from 1 species